AGGACGAACGCUGGCGGCGUGCUUAACACAUGCAAGUCGAACGGUGAAGCACCUUCCUUUUGGUGGGUGUGGAUGAGUGGCGAACGGGUGAGUAACACGUGAGUAACCUGCCCCCUUCUUCUGGAUAACCGCAUGAAAGUGUGGCUAAUACGGGAUAUUCUGGGUCUGUCGCAUGGCGGGCCUGGGAAAGAUAUUGUUUCGGUGGGGGAUGGGCUCGCGGCCUAUCAGCUUGUUGGUGGGGUGAUGGCCUACCAAGGCGGUGACGGGUA
rnacentral:rRNA from 1 species